GUGUCGCGUGGAGGAUCUAGUCUGUCCUCCUCAAUCCUUAUCCAUGGCGACGACGGUGGGCUCGAGGCGACGACGGAGAGGUCAAACUUCAGAUAUUAUCUUCUCUGUGGAUAUCGCCUCCCUUUCUUCUCUCCAUUUGUUGCCCCUCUCCUCCAGCAUGCCCUUCCCUACCAUGGCGCCUUCUCUCUCUCCUUCCCCUCCCAUGGUGCCCAUCCCUCCAUUCCCAUGACACCCCUCCCCCUCCCUUCUUCAUAUGGCGCCUCAUUACCCUCUAUUCUGGUGUCUGUGAGUUCAUCCGGGUUCAGUUUUGCAGAUCUGUAGCAAUCAAGUCCUAAUCCCUUUCUGCUGCUUCAGGUUAUUGGAAUUCAGUUUUGCAAUUCUCUACAACAGCCAAUUAAAACUAAGGCAACACCAAUGCUUUUGUGAUGAUCUCGUUGUGUCUAGAUGGAACUGAAAUGCUACCAUGUGCUCAAUUUUAUUUAAUGUGAAAGUCAUGCUAUCUUGUAAAGAUAAUAUACUACAUAUAUUAGUUACUAGGUGUUUGUUUUGAUUCAUGGUGUACAUGAAUGUUGUAGUCUUGUUUUACAUUAUGCACAUAUGAAAAUCUGCAGCAAUUUGGUACAAGCAGUACCCUGAAUCACAUAUUUGAGGUGUUCCAUCUUAUUUUAUUGUCUCUAUAUAUUUCCCAUGUUUUUUGUUAUCACGCAAGUCCCUGUUUCUCGGUCAUCAAGCUUGUUGCUUCCCUCGACCUUUUUUUGUUGCUUCCUCGACCAUUUUUUUUCAGAAGUCAGAAGGUUUCAUUGCAGCUUUAUAUAGCUUAAAUUGUAGUCUUAUGCACCCCAUCUUUUUCUUUGUUCACUAGUGUUUUGCUAAACAUAUACAUUCCCCCUUAACCAAUUCAUACACGCAUUUUUUCUGUGAAUGUAUUGAUACUUAUGCAAUAGCGGUAGUCCGGCCGAAUUUUCUUCAAUGAGUAGUCUCAACUGCUUGAGGUGGUCAAGUUUCCCCUUUUUGGGGGGUUCCUAGUCAGUUGAGCUCUGGCCCAUUCUCAUAUGCUAAUCUUGUGUAGGAAGAUUGCCAAUGUUGCACGAGCAUGGAAUUGUGGACGUCGUUGUGCACUAUUCUAAGGUGUCGGCUAGCUGGCUAGAGGCGUGUGUGGUCACGGCCUAGUGACUUUUGUUCAUUUUCUUCACUCUAGUGUAUUUUGUCCAUUUCUCUCUAAGUCUCUUGCUCUGGUCUCUUAUGUUGUUGUCAAUCAUUUUGUCUAUGUAUUCAUUCUAAGGUGAACAACUGACUUCUUACUAUUCUUCAAUUGUAUUCAUUAUUUUUGUUCCUCAGUUUGUAAGAUUGCCUUCUCAGUCUUAUAUUAGUUUUUGUAAUAGUAUCAGUCCUCAUUUUAUCAUAUUUAGUUAUCAUUUGCAUCUUUCUUCAGUCCUAUCUCUCACGAGUCUUGUCUUUUAGUAGAUGAUUAUUUCUGUUUUGAACCUCAUGUUCAUGUAAGUCCUAAGUUUUAAGUUUUCUGUUUUCUGUUUUUUGCACUGCUUUUUGCUAGAUUAUUUUCACUUUUUAGUCAUCAGUACUCCUAAGUAUCAGUUUUUAAAUGUGACACCGUAACAUUUUGCCAAAUACAUGUAUUACAUUUUAUUAAUGACAUAAAGAUUUCAGAAAAUUAUACGACAAUUUCUUACAAUUGUUUUUUUUAAAUCAGGUUGGAAAAUUUGUUCCCAUGUUUAAAAAUAUAUAUGUUUCAAACGGUGUUCCCUUUUUCAAAAUUGGUUGUUUUUAAAUAAAUGUUCAUAUUUUAAAAAAGUUAUUCAGAAAUUUCUAAAAUUGUUCCCACUUAAGAAACGGAUAUUUCAAAGAUUGUUCGGGCCUGCACGUUUUCAAUAUUUGUUUGCCCUUCAAAAAAUGAUUUAAAUCUCGGCGCUGCUCUAUGUGGUUUAAAUGUUCGGGCCUCGCAUCAUAACAUCAACGUUAGAUGCGUGUAGUGGCUAGUGGGAGCAAUUCAGCAGCGUUAGGUUGUGUGAGUACGAAUCCUAGUUUUCUCUUUUUUAUGUGUUUUUUACUAUGCGUGUUUUACAAAAAGUGUUUUUUACUAUGCGUGUUUUACAAAAAAGAAAAAAAUCGCCUCGUGUCUAUUCGCCUAGACCAGUUGCGACCGCACCCUUUCAAUAUUUUUACUUUGCGUUUUACGAAAAAAUAAAUCCCCCCAAAAAACGAAAAAACAAACAAAAUCUUGUAGUAUAUGUAAAAAGAAACAUAAAAACCAAAGUAUCAGUUUUAGUUCUCUUCAACUAUAUGUUAAGUGAUUAGUUAUUUUGUCAGUGUUUGUUCAUUAUCUUAAGUGUCUCAUUUUAGUUCUAUUCAGUUAUUUGGUCAGUGUUUGUUCUUGUCUAUCAGUUUUAAGUUAAGUCAUUUAUUAUUCUAACUAGUUUAGUUUCCAUUCAGCUUAUUAUUUUUAGUUUAUUUUGUUAUUCCUGUAUUUUCAGCAUUCAUUUUAAAUUUGUUAGACUUGAUAUGUGUUAAUAAUUCUUGUAGUUUAAAUUAGUUAUCUGGUGAGUCUCUGUUCUUAGUUUUUCAGUCAUCUUUUUGAUUAGUCUUCAUUUUUCAGUGCAGUUAUUUCAUUAAUUAUUAUUCAUUUUUUUUAGUUUUUCUAGGAAGAGUUUGUCUAUGUGUUUAUCAUUUUCUCGUUCAAUCAUGUUAGGUAUCAUUUUAUCUGUCAUUCUAGUGUCUGAACCCGUAGGUGUCAAAUUCAGUUUAUAGUUUUUGGUUGAGUGUUAGGUGUCAUUUUUAGUAUCGUCAGUUAAUGUUCUUCAGCUUUGUGUUGUAUUCAGUUUUGUCAUCUCAGAAGUGUCAUAAAAUUCUUAGCCAUAUAUCAGUUUGUAGUUUUCAGUUUCAGUCAUCUUCAUUGCAGGUUAGUUCAUGGUUAUGUUCAGUAUCAAUUUCAGUCUUAUUCAGGUUUCAGUCAUCUUUAGCUUUUUCAUGCUACUCAUUUCUUUAGUGUUAGGUUUGUUAGCUAGUUUAGCAAAUUUGUUCAUACAGUUUUCCGUCUAUCUAUAUUUUCUUUCUCAGUUUCAGUGCUGUGUGCAUUUUUUUAGUAUUUUUCAUUGUUUUACAUGUUUUUGAAUCAUCAGUCAUCUAUAUUUUUCAGUUAUCCCUCAUUAUUCUAGUUAGUCCAUGAUAAUUUCGGCGAGGAAGCUGAUUCCCCUGCUGCUUUUUUAUUUUACUCAUCGCAAGCAGCAUCACACGCAGUUGCAUCCAUGUCUUCUCUCCCCACCACCCGCCAGCUAACGUCACGCCUCCACAGAUUUCUUUUCUUUGUUACAAGCCUGCGUCCUCUUCCAGGUGUGAGUCCUCUACCUCGAGACCUCGUUGGGUUACACCACCGCGGGCACGGUACGUAUCAAUGUUGAUACUACUAUUUUCGCAAUAAUCGCUGCUUGGGAGUGGGUGUUUUUUAUCUGUGAUCACCAUGGAUGUUGUGUGCUGGCAUGCAAUGAACGUUUUGAAGGCGUAACAUCACCUGAACUUGCUGAAGUAGUGGCCUGGCCAUUAGGCGUGUUCACAUUUUCCAGAGAUCAUGGUCACAUGUUUGUGCUUCUUAAUUCUGAUUGUCUCUCUCUGACUUUCAAUGCAUUCAUUCUGAUGCUCAGGAUCUAUCUUUGUUGGGCUCGGUGAUAGCUGAUAUAAAGUCUCUGGUGGCUGCUGUAUCUUCAAGCAUGUUCAUCGCGACUUGAAUGUAGCGGCACAUCUAUUAGCUCGCAAUAGUGAACAUUCAGUUUGUAAUAUUUCUGUUGAUGUAAUCCCCUGGUGUAUCUGGGAAGUACUUUAGAAUGAUGUUACUUAAUCAAUAAAGUGCCUGACAGUC